rnacentral:rRNA from 1 species
UUUUUAUGAGAGUUUGAUCCUGGCUCAGGACGAACGCUGGCGGCGUGCCUAAUACAUGCAAGUCGAACGCUUCUUUU